UACGUAGGGACCGAGCGUUGUCCGGAUUCAUUGGGUGUAAAGGGUUCGUAGGCGGUGUGGCAAGUCGGGAGUGAAAUCUCUGGGCUCAACUCAGAGACUGCUUCCGAAACUGCUGUGCUGGAGUGUGGGAGAGGCGCGUGGAAUUGCAGGUGUAGCGGUGAAAUGCGUAGAUAUCUGCAGGAACACCCGUGGCGAAAGCGGCGCGCUGGACCACUACUGACGCUGAGGAACGAAAGCUAGGGGAGCAAACAGG
rnacentral:rRNA from 1 species